GACGGAGAUCACGCUGAGCAACACUGGGAAAGUCGGGAUCGAGUUCAAGAUUGUGAACCAUGAGCAGAGUCUGGAUCAGGAGCUCGUGCCAGGAAUACCGUUCAUCACUCCCCUGUCGGGCUAUAUCAAAGCGAACACUGAACAGAAGCUGAAGGUGUGUUACCUGCACGCACUCCCUGAGGUCUUUCACAAGAGCUUCGAGAUCCAGAUCUCACACUUUGAGCCGGAGAGGAUCACACUGACCGGAGAGGGGGUCUUUCCCCGGAUCUACGUGGAUUUACCCCGCAACAUACCCGAGAACACGGAAUACGAGGCUCUGCUGCUUCAAGCCAGACAGUCCCUGGACAACGACCCCCAGA